rnacentral:rRNA from 1 species
GACGAACGCUGGCGGCGUGCUUAACACAUGCAAGUCGAACGGAAAGGCCCUGCUUGCAGGGUACUCGAGUGGCGAACGGGUGAGUAACACGUGGGUGAUCUGCCCUGCACUUCGGGAUAAGCCUGGGAAACUGGGUCUAAUACCGGAUAGGAGCCAUUUUUAGUGUGAUGGUUGGAAAGUUUUUUCGGUGUAGGAUGAGCUGGCGGCCUAUCAGCUUGUUGGUGGGGUAAUGGCCUACCGAGGCGGCGACGGGUAGCCGGCCUGAGAGGGUGGACGGCGACAUUGGGACUGAGGUACGGCCGAGACUGCGACGGGAGGGAGCAGGGGGGAAGAUUGAAGAAUGGGCGCAAGCCUGAUGCAGCGACGCCGCGUGGGGGAUGACGGCGUUAGGGUUGUAGAAUCCUUUCGCUAGGAACGAAGCUUUUUGUGACGGUACCUAGAUAAGAAGCACCGGCUAACUACGUG